UACGAAGGGGGCUAGCGUUGCUCGGAAUUACUGGGCGUAAAGGGCGCGUAGGCGGACAGUUUAGUCAGAGGUGAAAGCCCAGGGCUCAACCUUGGAAUUGCCUUUGAUACUGGCUGUCUUGAGUUCGGGAGAGGUGAGUGGAAUGCCGAGUGUAGAGGUGAAAUUCGUAGAUAUUGGGAAGAACACCGGUGGCGAAGGCGGCUCACUGGCCCGUAACUGACGCUCAGGCGCGAUAGCGUGGGGAUCAAACAGG
rnacentral:rRNA from 1 species